rnacentral:rRNA from 1 species
AGUGAACGCUGGCGGUAGGCCUAACACAUGCAAGUCGAACGGCAGCACAGUAAGAGCUUGCUCUUACGGGUGGCGAGUGGCGGACGGGUGAGGAAUACAUCGUAAUCUACUUUUUCGUGGGGGAUAACGUAGGGAAACUUACGCUAAUACCGCAUACGACCUACGGUUGAAAGCAGUGGAUCUUCUGACCUUGCGCGAUUGAAUUAGCCGAUGUCGGAUUAGCUAGUUGGCGGGGUAAAGGCCCACCAAGGCGACGAUCCGUAGCUGGUCUGAGAGGAUGAUCAGCCACAUUGGAACUGAGACACGGUCCAGACUCCUACGGGAGGCAGCAGUGGGGAAUAUUGGACAAUGGGCGCAAGCCUGAUCCAGCGAUACCGCGUGGGUGAAGAAGGCCUUCGGGUUGUAAAGACCUUUUGUUGGGAAAGAAAAGCAGCAGGUUAAUACCACGCUGUUCUGACGGUAACCAAAGAAUAAGCACCGGCUAACUUCGUG